rnacentral:rRNA from 1 species
CAACAGCUAGAGUUUGAUCCUGGCUCAGGAUGAACGCUGGCGGCGUGCUUAACACAUGCAAGUCGAACGGACAAAGAAGAUUUCGGUUUUCUUUGUUAGUGGCGGACGGGUGAGUAACGCGUGGGCAACCUACCUUAUACAGGGGGAUAACAGUUAGAAAUGACUGAUAAUACCGCAUAAGCGCCCGAGGUCGCAUGACCUUGAGUGAAAAACUCUGGUGGUAUAAGAUGGGCCCGCGUCUGAUUAGCUAGUUGGUAAGGUAACGGCUUACCAAGGCGACGAUCAGUAGCCGACCUGAGAGGGUGAUCGGCCACAUUGGGACUGAGACACGGCCCAAACUCCUACGGGAGGCAGCAGUGGGGAAUAUUGCACAAUGGGGGAAACCCUGAUGCAGCGACGCCGCGUGACUGAAGAAGUAUUUCGGUAUGUAAAGGUCUAUCAGCAAGGAAGAAGAGAGACGGUACUUGACUAAGAAGCCCCGGCUAACUACGUGCCAGCAGCCGCGGUAA